rnacentral:rRNA from 1 species
UGCCCCAUAGUCUGGGAUACCACUUGGAAACAGGUGCUAAUACCGGAUAAGAAAGCGGAUCGCAUGAUCAGCUUUUAAAAGGCGGCGUAAGCUGUCGCUAUGGGAUGGCCCCGCGGUGCAUUAGCUAGUUGGUAAGGUAAAGGCUUACCAAGGCGAUGAUGCAUAGCCGAGUUGAGAGACUGAUCGGCCACAUUGGGACUGAGACACGGCCCAAACUCCUACGGGAGGCAGCAGUA